CACCAGGGUGAUUUUCAGCUGUUUUUGUAUGAAUCAAAUAGAAACCAAAACAAAGCAAAACUUCAAGUUGAGUUGUGGAUUCUUUCUUUUCUCACUGAACAAAAUGUCUGAACUUCCAGCUGGUGAUCAGAGCAGGCGGGAGUCAUCACCCCAUCCUGUUUAGCCAGUGAAGCAAUGAAAAGCUAAAUUGUUUAGCCUUGCUCAGUCCCAAGACUUUCAAUGGAAAACCAUCAGAGGCAAAUGCAAACAACCGGAACUACUUGAAGGUUUAAAAAAAAAAAAAAAAAAAAAAGGGACAUUACAACAAGACAGGGGCUAUAAAUAGAAACAAAAGACCAUUCCAGGAGAACACA